UGAAUACGAGACGCUAAGGCGUCGAAGUAGUGUAUGUCAUACUUCCAAGAAAAGCUUGCACUGUCAUAGAUAAAAAACGCCUGUACCAUAACCGACACAGGUGGGUAGGUAGAGUAUACUAAGGGGCGCGAGAUAACUCUCUCUAAGGAACUCGGCAAAAUAACUCCGUAACUUCGGGAGAAGGAGUGCCUUAUUCGUAAGGUUGCAAUAACAAGAUCCAAGCAACUGUUUAUCAAAAACACAGGUCUCCGCUAAGUCGUAAGACGAUGUAUGGGGGCUGACGCCUGCCCAGUGCCAGAAGGUUAAAGAAGUUGGUUAGCAAUUGCGAAGCUGAUAACUGAAGCCCUGGUGAACGGCGGCCGUAACAAUAACGGUCCUAAGGUAGCGAAAUUCCUUGUCGGGUAAGUUCCGACCCGCACGAAAGGCGUAAUGAUUUGGAUACUGUCUCGGAGAGGGGCUCGGUGAAAUAGACUUGUCUGUGAAGAUGCGGACUACCUGCACCAGGACAGAAAGACCCUAUGAAGCUUUACUGUAACUUGAAAUUGAAAUUGGACUUUAUUCGCGCAGCAUAGGUGGGAGGCGUUGAUUAUAAUCUUGCGGGAUUAUUGGAGCCAUCAGUGAGAUACCACUCUUGUAAUGUUAGAUUUCUAACUUUGAAUCAUUAUCUGGUCAAAGAACAGUUUCAGGCGGGCAGUUUGACUGGGGCGGUCGCCUCCUAAACGGUAACGGAGGCGUACAAAGGUUUCCUCUGAACGGUUAGAAAUCGUAUCUAGAGUGUAAAGGCAUAAGGAAGCUUGACUGUGAGACCUACAAGUCGAGCAGGGACGAAAGUCGGUCUUAGUGAUCUGACGGUACUGAGUGGAAAGGCCGUCACUCAACGGAUAAAAGUUACUCUAAGGAUAACAGGCUGAUCUCCCCCAAGAGUUCACAUCGACGGGGAGGUUUGGCACCUGGAUGUCGGCUCAUCGCAUCCUGGGGCGGUAGUACGUCCCAAGGGUUGGGCUGUUCGCCCAUGAAAGCGGUACGCGAGCUGGGUUCAGAACGUCGUGAGACAGUUCGGUCCAUAUCCGGUGUAGGCGUUAGAAUAUUGAGAGGAGCCUUCUUUAGUACGAGAGGACCGAGAAGGACAUACCUCUGGUGUACCAGUUAUCGUGCCAACGGUAAACGCUGGGUAGCUAUGUAUGGAGUGGAUAACCGCUGAAAGCAUCUAAGUGGGAAGCCCACCUCAAGAUAAGUAUUCUCAUC
rnacentral:rRNA from 1 species